CUGCUGCCUCCCGUAGGAGUCUGGUCCGUGUCUCAGUACCAGUGUGGGGGACCUUCCUCUCAGAACCCCUACGCAUCGUCGGUUAGGUGGGCCGUUACCCCGCCUACUGCCUAAUGCGCCGCAUGCCCAUCCCUGUCCGGCCGAAGCCUUUUCCUGCCUCCGGGAUGCCCCGGUGGCAUGUACGCGGGUUUAGCCCGCCUUUCGGCGGGUUGUCCCCCUGACAGGGGCAGGUUGCAUACGUGUUACUCACCCGUGCGCCGGUCGCCGGCGGAGAAAG
rnacentral:rRNA from 1 species